UACGGAGGGAGCUAGCGCUGUUCGGAAUUACUGGGCGUAAAGCGCGCGUAGGCGGCUUUGUAAGUUAGAGGUGAAAGCCCGGGGCUCAACCCCGGAACUGCCUUUAAAACUGCAUCGCUUGAAUCCAGGAGAGGUGAGUGGAAUUCCGAGUGUAGAGGUGAAAUUCGUAGAUAUUCGGAAGAACACCAGUGGCGAAGGCGGCUCACUGGACUGGUAUUGACGCUGAGGUGCGAAAGCGUGGGGAGCAAACAGGG
rnacentral:rRNA from 1 species